rnacentral:tRNA from 1 species
AGCGGGGUGGGGCAGCCAGGAGUGCCCGGGGGGCUCAUAACCCCCAGGUCCCGGGUUCGAAUCCCGGCCCCGCUA